AGUGAACGCUGGCGGUAGGCCUAACACAUGCAAGUCGAACGGCAGCACAGGAGAGCUUGCUCUCUGGGUGGCGAGUGGCGGACGGGUGAGAAAUACAUCGGAAUCUACCUUUUCGUGGGGGAUAACGUAGGGAAACUUACGCUAAUACCGCAUACGACCUACGGGUGAAAGUGGGGGACCGCAAGGCCUCACGCGAUGAGAUGAGCCGAUGUCCGAUUAGCUAGUUGGCGGGGUAAUGGCCCACCAAGGCGACGAUCGGUAGCUGGUCUGAGAGGAUGAUCAGCCACACUGGAACUGAGACACGGUCCAGACUCCUACGGGAGGCAGCAGUGGGGAAUAUUGGACAAUGGGCGCAAGCCUGAUCCAGCCAUACCGCGUGGGUGAAGAAGGCCUUCGGGUUGUAAAGCCCUUUUGUUGGGAAAGAAAUCCUGUCGAUUAAUACUCGGUGGGGAUGACGGUACCCAAAGAAUAAGCACCGGCUAACUUCGUGCCAGCCGCCGCGGUAACAC
rnacentral:rRNA from 1 species